rnacentral:rRNA from 1 species
UGAACCUGCGGAAGGAUCAUUGUCGAUACCUGUCUAAAACAGAACGACCGCGAACUAACGAUCAUCACUCUCGGUUGGCCGGUCUCUUUUGAUGCCGUGCUUUCCGAUUCCGUGGUUCCGUGUUUGUUCCCUGCCGAGUGUCUCAUUCGGUCGGUGCAAGUGCGAAGCUUCCGGAUAUCACAAAACCCCGGCACGAGAAGUGUCAAGGAACAUGCAACCAAAUGGCUAGCAUCCGCCGCCCUGGAGACGGUGUGUGCGCGGAUGCGAUGCUGUAAUAUUAAGUCUAAAACGACUCUCGGCAACGGAUAUCUCGGCUCUCGCAUCGAUGAAGAACGUAGCGAAAUGCGAUACUUGGUGUGAAUUGCAGAAUCCCGUGAACCAUCGAGUCUUUGAACGCAAGUUGCGCCCCAAGCCUUCUGGCCGAGGGCACGUCUGCCUGGGUGUCACUAACCGUCGUCCCCCCAUCCUUUUCGGAUACGGGACGGAAGCUGGUCUCCCGUGUGUUACCGCACGCGGUUGACCAAAAUCCGAGCUAAGGACGCAAGGUACGUCUCGACAUGCGGUGGUGAAACAUUCCUCGUGAUAUUGUUGGACUGUCCUGUCUGUAAGCUCAUUAUGACCCAAGUUCAUCAACGCGACCCCAGGUCAGGCGGGAUCACCCGCUGAGUUUAAGCAUAUAAUC